rnacentral:rRNA from 1 species
GACGAACGCUGGCGGCAUGCCUAAUACAUGCAAGUCGAACGCUUCUUUCCUCCCGAGUGCUUGCCCUCUAUUGGAAAGAGGGGUGGCGGACGGGUGAGUAACACGUGGGUAACCUACCCAUCAGAGGGGGAUAACACUUGGAAACAGGUGCUAAUACCGCAUAACAGUUUAUGCCGCAUGGCAUAAGAGUGAAAGGCGCUUUCGGGUGUCGCUGAUGGAUGGACCCGCGGUGCAUUAGCUAGUUGGUGAGGUAACGGCUCACCAAGGCCACGAUGCAUAGCCGACCUGAGAGGGUGAUCGGCCACACUGGGACUGAGACACGGCCCAGACUCCUACGGGAGGCAGCAGUAGGGAAUCUUCGGCAAUGGACGAAAGUCUGACCGAGCAACGCCGCGUGAGUGAAGAAGGUUUUCGGAUCGUAAAACUCUGUUGUUAGAGAAGAACAAGGACGUUAGUAACUGAACGUCCCCUGACGGUAUCUAACCAGAAAGCCACGGCUAACUACGUG